rnacentral:lncRNA from 1 species
CUGGAGAAGACUGGAGAGCUAGCCAAGCUCUUAUGGGCUUUGUUUUAAAGAUGGCACGGUUGGCUUUUACCUUGAUCUCUUCUUGGCAACCUCAUUACACUGGAAUAAAUUAAAUUCUGAAGUCUUCUUUUACAUAUGCUACUAUUAAAGCGUGUUUGUUUGAACAAUAAACAAAAGGCAGGGUUUUCCAAGGCCCAGUACACAGACUCAAUCAGUAACAAUUCCAGGAGGAAACCAGGAGCCAUAAAGAGGGAAGACCACCUGAAGGGAAAGUUGGGGCGCUUUCAAAUUCCUUCAUAUAGCAAAGUCUUUAUAUGUGAAGUUCUAGAAAAUAAUCAUAUAAAACGAAGUGUUAAAGAUUUCCCAAUAAUAACAAUAAAAAAGAAAAAAAAAGAAUAAGAGUGAGAGAGAGAGAGAAGGGGGAGGAAAAAACAGAGAAAUUAGAGAGAGAAAGAUUUGAAAAAACCUAGUAAUUGAUGCCUUACAUUCUUAGGAAGAAAUGAUCAACUAUAAGAGUAUGCACUAAAAUUCUUUUAUUGUUUUCUGUAUUCCUGAUGGCUUCCAUGACACUCUUGGGAUGAGUAUUUCCUGGCUGUCAGUUAAGGACAAUCUAUGAUCACUUUUCUAGUAUUUUUUCUAGUUUUAUGUUAGUCAUUGUACUCAGAAAAAUGUUUUAACUCUUCGUAAAAAAAGAAAUUAUAUCUGUAACACUAAUGGCCAAAAACUAAUAUGGCUCUGAAAAUAAAGACAAAAAGACCAAAAAAAAAAAAAAAAAAAAAAAAAAAAAAAAUUGCCCCUCCUGCACACUCUGCCUCCUCCUGUCUCCAGGCAACCACUGGUCUGCUUUCUUUUCCUAUAAUGAAUCUAAAUUUUCUGGAAUUUUUAUAUAAAUGGAAUCAUACAGCAUGCACUUUUUUUUUUUUUUUGGUCUGGCUUCUUUCACUCAGGAUAAUUACUUGGAGAGUCAUCUGUGUUAUCAAAUAUAUCAAGAGUCCAUUCCUUGUUAUUGCUGAGUACUAUUCUGCCAUGUAGAUGGACCACAUAUUGUUCAUCCACUCAUCUAUUGAUGGGCAUUUGGAUUGUUUCCAGUUUGGGAAACUUACAAAGAACGUUGAUAUGCACAUUCAUGCACACGUAUUUGUGUAGACAUAUUUUUUUUUUUCCUUUGGGGUAAAUACUUACGAUAAAAAUAGAUCAUGUAGUAAGUUUAUGUUUAACUUUAUAGACUUCUUUACCAUAGGGAAAAGGGGCUAUAUUGCUGGUUCAGCUGAAAUAGCACCUCUUAGCAACCUUUGUAUGGAAAUGGCUUGACUCAGAAUUGAGGUACUCCAUGUCUUUUGUUCUUAGCUUCAGGUUCUGUUUUGUUACAAUGCCCAUAAAUGUGAAAAACAAAACCAAAAAUCUUACAGGGUCCCUCAGAAUCUGGGAAGCAAGUAUCAAAUAUAUGAGAAAAUGAUUCAAGAAAAAACUCUUUUGAAAGGAUUCUGGGCAUACUGAGGCUUUUGCACAAACCUGCUGGUGCUCUAGAGACCUGUUUUUCAGUGGAAAUCAUGUAGAUGAGGGAGAAAUUACACCUCACACUCACAAAGGAUGUGUGGAGCCUCCAGAAUAAGUGAUUUAUAGCUGGAUAGUUUUCCAAAAGCAUAAUAACAACCAGCAAUUUUAUUUUUUUUAUUUUAUUUUUGUCUUUUUAGGGUUGCACCUGCAGUAUAUGGAGGUUCCCAGGCAAGGGGUCAAAUCAGAGCUGUAGCUGCUGGCCUACACCACAGCCACAGCAACACGGGAUCCAAGCCACGUCUGCCACCUACACCACAGCUCAGGGCAGUGCCAGAUCCUUAACCUACUGAGCGAGGCCAGGGAUCAAACCCGCCUCAUCAUGGAUACUAGUUGGGUUCAUUAACCUCUGAGCCACGACGGGAACUCCUAGCCAGCAAUUUUAAAAUCAUGUAUUUGUACUAGGCUGACUAACUUACAUACUUUCAUAUACCACAUACUCCAUGUGAAAUAUUAGUAUGAAUAUUUUUAACCUGCUAAUUCACAUUGGAGAAUAUCUCACAUACAUUUACUCAUUUGAUUCUCAUAGAAUCGCCAUCAUGGAGUCCAGGAAAAAAAAUUUCCCUGUGUUACAGUUGUAAAAAGUAGACCUCAACAAAGUUUAGGACAGGCUGGUAUAGUAGACAGAGUUCCUACACUGAGGGUGAAGAGAGCAGGGUUGUGGCAAUGCAUGUCUUUGUCAUUAAUUACUGUCAUUUAAGCCUUCUAGGCAUUAAUUUCCCUGAUGAGGUAAAAAGUUUGGGUGGCAUCAGUCUUUUCAAAUUAUGUUCUUAGAAAUAUGGUGUUUUCAAGGUUAUAAAUGAAUGAAUGGGUGAAUAAAGUCAAAUAUGGACCAUUUAAUUCCCUUCAGGAGAGUCACAAUACAUGUACCAUAUAAAAGCCUCUGAGAAAUCAUAAAGAGCCCUAUUUAACUUGGGUCCCCUAACAUUUCCCAAAGUGAUUUGCCCUAAAAUUUUUAUUGCCUAUUAAUCUUCUAGUAAUUAAUUCCUCAAGUAAUUCUUCUAAGAAAACACAAUAAUUUUAAGUAAAUAAUUUUAGCUUUGGAAGCCCUGACAUUCUCUCUGCUUUGAAAGAUGUUACUGUCCCACAUUCACAGAGCAAAGCAUGGAAGAAUAGAGCUGAGAAGCUGGGUUUCCUAACUCCUUGUCCACUGCUGUUUCCAUGGCAUUAACUAGACCAACCAGAUCUUUCCUUAUGAUGAUGGCACAUCGAAAGCUGCUGAGGAGCAAGUUUUUAUGACAGCAAAGUUUCUUGGCCUGAUUCUGACCGGGAAUGAAUUUACCCACAUGAAUGGUUUCUUCCAGUUACGUUUUCCCUUAGAGGCAGCACCUACAGGACCAAGUUUCUAUAGAAAGUGCCUGAGUUGCCUAUUUAAGGUUGUUUGAGGAAUCUGCUUAUACUGCCUGGUGAGGUGUGUUUAAACUGAAAACUUUAUUUGAAAAUAGCAAGGCUUAUUUCAUGCAGACAAAAUACAACAUGGGAAUAUUGAACCACCAGGCAAUUUCUUUUGUAGGCUUUGUUUCAGGCCACGACUAAUCUGGUCUCCAAAUCAGCAGGUGGAAGCAGUUUCUAUGAAGUCUGCCUCAGACUCCCUCAUUUAGAUAUUUUCAUGGCACUAGAAAACAGUACCUAGAGAAUCCCAAAGAACAAAUGAGAGGAAACGAUCCCCUGAUUUCUCACCCCCUGUUCUGUCACUAAGACAGCAGGGUCCUUGUCUCACACAGAGGUAGUCUCACAACAACUCUAUUUUAGAGGAAAAGCAGAAGUCAGUAAUUUUCUCCCUAGUGCUUCUGGUUUUCCUUUAAUUUCUCCAGGACAAUAAAAAUAAUGACAUUCUGAACAAUAUGAAGAUUGAGCUUUUCUCUAAAUAUCUAUAUUAUAGGACUAAACAAUGAAACUCUUUCAGCCUCCAGAUUUCAAGAAGUGUGUUGCAAAUCCAUUAAAUAUAUUUAAGUGUGUAUAUUAUGGUAGAAAAACAAUUGGUCUUUAUGGUAUAUUAUUUUAUCCUAAUUCUGAAGGAGAAAGAAGAUGCAGGCAUAUGAAAUGCGCAAAAUAUGCAACUGAGAUUGGUUUCAAAACAAGUUUAAAGGGGUUGAAAUCCAGCCACUAAGGUAUUCAAACUAACAUACCAACUGUGGGCAAAUUUAAAUUCUUUUUUUCCAUCCUCAAACAAGGCUACUGAGAUCCACGUGUUGACAGAUGUUUGAGCUAUGUAAGAUUCAGAACUGAAUUUUUAAGAACUCCACUGAGAGUCUCAUGCACUUACUAUCAAUCUCUCUUUUCUAAAGAUGUAGGGUGUAUACCCAUUUAUUUUCCACAUGAACUAUCUAAGAUUUCUUAAUAAUAAAUGGCUUGAAUAAUAGGCAUCAUUUGGAAUUCCUCAUGAAAGGAAGCUGAAUUCUGCCACUGGAUGAUUCUGAUUUUGCUCACAAUAAUGGAAAACAGGUAAAGUGUGUGAGAGUAGAUUGAGAGAGGCAGGCUAUUCUAUUAUCUCUUUUUAAUAUGCUAGGCUAUUUUCAACUAUUAAACUUGCAUGCAUUUUAUUUAAUGUGAAAUAAAUAAUAACACCUCUCCUUCCCUCAUUCACUUUUCUCCAUCUUGAAAAGCUCUUGUUUCAGGUUGCCAUGGUGAUGGUGCCACUCUGAUAUUUGUUUAAGUGAAACACUUUCAUCUUACUGACUUGAAGACAGGUACUAGAAGGGCCAGAAGAAAAACUGACAGCAUAGCCUGGUAGCUGGAAAAAAAAAAAAGGACCCCUGGUCUGUGGCCAACAGACAAUUGCCUUGAUAAGAGAAAUCACCCUAUAAGAAUGGGGGGGCACUUUCUCUCUUCCCGUGCAGUUUAUUUUCUUUUUCAAUUGUGUUUUAUUUCAUUAUGUUUUGUUUUAGGAAAGAGUAAGAAAUUGUGUUAGUUAAAUAGGCGGUGUUUAAAACUGACGUCAUUUGUAGGUAUAAGUUAGCUCUUUGGAUUUAAGGGGACCCUUUGAAGAUCAGGAAAUCUUUAAGAGAGAGCCCCUUUUUGCCCUAAGAAGUGAAAGAGAAAGACACCAUUUAUAAUGAAGGAGGAACUCCUUAAAUUGUUCCUAGGUUCAUAAUUAUGACCAACGCACUGAAAUUGAGUUUGAGAAUUUUUGCCUGCAGUGAAUGUCAUGAUGUCUUCGUUCAGAAAAAUCAACAAAAUUUCCAAUUCCUACACAACUUAAGGGUUUUUGGCUGCAGCGAAUAUCAUGAUGUCUUUGUUCAGAAAAAUCAACAAAAUUUCCAAUUGCUGCUUAAGGGUUGACUGCUGCAUACAGUUCCAGCCUGUGAACUCUUGCAUGUACAAUGGGAGUGAGAAUCACUUGUGAUGAACAUCAAUUCACAGAGGCACUAUCUCUCAUUAACUAACUGCAUUUAACUCUAAAAUAUUAUGAGUUAAGUGUUAAGAGAUAGCCUAUAUUUAUACUUGUACUUUAUUUCUCUGCUAAUGCUGCCUUGACAAAAUAGCACAGAGGCUAAAGAAUAGCCUUUGGAAUCAAAUAUACGGCAGUCCACACAUUAGUACUCUUAAGUGGAGGGCAGCUGCUAAGACUCCCGUCAGUGAGCCUUAGAGAGGGAGCUUCUUCCCCAGAGUCAUGACUGAUGUAGGGACAUCCUUGCAGUGUGUCUUAAGGCAAUGCAGGGUUGCCUACCUCAAGAUGAAGAAAGUGUGUUUCAGUGAACAAAAUUCCAGACCACUUUUUUUGCCACUCAGGCUCUGUUUGUGCCUUAACUUGCUUAUGAAUAAAAAUUAGCAUUAUGUGACCUACUAACAGAGGUAUUAUGAGGAUUGCACUUAGGACAGUUUGUGUGAUGGGGUGUCUUCACUUAGCUUUUCAAUGAUAAUAAAUAUACCUGAGGGAGUGUUACAGGUCACUCCUCUUGUGCUUGGCAAAAAAACAAAAACAAAAAACAAAAAACAGCAACAACAACAAAAAAAAACACAUAUAUAUAACUCCACCACUUUCUUUCUGUGGGCAAAUGAAUGAACACUGCUGACCAAAACGAGAGGACUAAUGGUCUUAAUAUGGAACACUGGGCUUGGCUGAACAUUGCAAUGGAUGUCUCUUUUGUAAAACGUCCUCUCAGUUUUAAUGACAGUGGGGAACGGACCUUGGGUUUUAGUUAAUUCAAAACAUGUACUUUCCCUUUAAAAUUAUUAGGGGCACUAUCAGAGUUAAAGUGUUUAUCUAAGCAAAUUUGAGGUAGUGGUAGUUUUGUAGAAAUGGCCUAGCAGUGAUUAGAGUUGGUUAUGCCAUUAAUUCUUGUGCAAAUUUGAAAGGUCCUUUCAUUUCUCUAAAUGAUAAUGUUCCUAUUAACCAAAUAAGGAAGUUAGAAGACAUCCAAGAACUUUUACCUCUCUAAAUUCUGCUUUGGUGGCAGAAUGAUAAAAGGGUUCCCCUUCUUCACCUAAGAAUCAGCUCAGCCUCUCAUACAGAGAAUCAAAGAGUGAAAUGGUGCUUUUUCUCAGGGGCUGGAAAUGGAAAUGAGGCGUUAAUAAUCAAUGGGGAUAAAAUUUCAGUUAAGCAAGAUGAAUACCUUCUAGGAGUUCCCUUGUGGUGCAGUGGGUUAAGAACCUGGCACUGUUACUACAGCCACUGGGGUCACUACUGCGGUACGGAUUCAACCCUUGGCCUGUGAAUAUACAUAUGUCUCGGGCUCAGCUCCCCCCCAAAAAAAAGACAAAUACUUUCUAGAGAUCUGGUGUAUAACAUUGGAUUUAAGGUCAACAACAGUAUAUUGUACACUUAAAAAUUUGUUAGGAGUUAGACCUCAUGUUAUGUAUUUUUACACAAUAAAAGAAAAUGAAAACCAAGAUAAAAGUAUUUUUUCAAAAAUUCAGAUUCAGCCCAGCCUUGGAAAGCCGAAGAGAGCUGGGCUGAGGCCUAUGUGGAGUUUCCAACCUGGUACCUGGUAUAUGCAUGCCCCAGCACCCAUGUGAGGUUUACACAUUUUCUGGUUCAUGAAGUUGUGCUGUUAACAACCAGUUUAAAAAAAAAAAAAAAA